GCUGGGAUAGCUCAGUUGGUAGAGUGUGAGACUCUUAAGCUCAGGGUCGUGGGUUCGAGCCCCGCGUUAGGCA